AGUGAACGCUGGCGGUAGGCCUAACACAUGCAAGUCGAACGGCAGCACAGUAAGAGCUUGCUCUUACGGGUGGCGAGUGGCGGACGAGUGAGGAAUACAUCGGAAUCUACUUUUUCGUGAGGGAUAACGUAGGGAAACUUACGCUAAUACCGCAUACGACCUACGGGUGAAAGCAGGGGAUCUUCGGACCUUGCGCGAUUGAAUGAGCCGAUGUCGGAUUAGCUAGUUGGCGGGGUAAAGGCCCACCAAGGCGACGAUCCGUAGCUGGUCUGAGAGGAUGAUCAGCCACACUGGAACUGAGACACGGUCCAGACUCCUACGGGAGGCAGCAGUGGGGAAUAUUGGACAAUGGGCGCAAGCCUGAUCCAGCCAUACCGCGUGGGUGAAGAAGGCCUUCGGGUUGUAAAGCCCUUUUGUUGGGAAAGAAAAGCAGCAGGUUAAUACCCCGCUGUUCCGACGGUACCCAAAGAAUAAGCACCGGCUAACUUCGUG
rnacentral:rRNA from 1 species